rnacentral:rRNA from 1 species
AGUCGAACGAGAAAGUGGAGCAAUCCAUGAGUACAGUGGCGUACGGGUGAGUAACACGUGGGUAAUCUACCUCUUUGUGUGGAAUAACCCUGGGAAACCGGGGCUAAUACCGCAUAAGCUCGAGAGAGGAAAGCAGCAAUGCGCUGAGAGAGGAGCCCGCGGCCGAUUAGCUAGUUGGUAGGGUAAAAGCCUACCAAGGCAAAGAUCGGUAGCCGGCCUGAGAGGGCACACGGCCACACUGGCACUGAAACACGGGCCAGACUCCUACGGGAGGCAGCAGUGGGGAAUCUUGCACAAUGGGGGCAACCCUGAUGCAGCGACGCCGCGUGAGCGAUGAAGCCCCUCGGGGUGUAAAGCUCUUUCGGCAGGGAAGAUGAUGACGGUACCUGCAGAAGCAGCUGCGGCUAACUACGUGCCAGCAGCCGCGGUAAUACGUAGGCAGCAAGCGUUGUUCGGAGUUACUGGGCGUAAAGGGUGUGUAGGCGGUCUUCUAAGUUUGGUGUGAAAUCUCCCGGCUCAACUGGGAGGGUGCGCCGAAUACUGAAAGACUAGAGUGCGGGAGAGGAUAGUGGAAUUCCUGGUGUAGCGGUGAAAUGCGUAGAUAUCAGGAGGAACACCGGUGGUGUAGACGGCUAUCUGGACCGUAACUGACGCUGAGACACGAAAGCGUG